rnacentral:rRNA from 1 species
GGGCGUAAAGCGCAUGCAGGUGGUUUGUUAAGUCAGAUGUGAAAGCCCGGGGCUCAACCUCGGAACUGCAUUUGUAAACUGGCAGACUAGAGUACUGUAGAGGGGGGUAGAAUUUCAGGUGUAGCGGUGAAAUGCGUAGAGAUCUGAAGGAAUACCGGUGGCGAAGGCGGCCCCCCUGGACAGAUACUGACACUCAGAUGCGAAAGCGUGGGGAGCAAACAGGAUUAGAUACCCCUGGUAG